ACGAACGCUGGCGGCGUGCUUAACACAUGCAAGUCGAACGGAAAGGCCCUGCUUUUGUGGGGUGCUCGAGUGGCGAACGGGUGAGUAACACGUGAGUAACCUGCCCUCGACUUUGGGAUAACUUCAGGAAACUGGGGCUAAUACCGGAUAGGAGCUCCUGCUGCAUGGUGGGGGUUGGAAAGUUUCGGCGGUUGGGGAUGGACUCGCGGCUUAUCAGCUUGUUGGUGGGGUAGUGGCUUACCAAGGCUUUGACGGGUAGCCGGCCUGAGAGGGUGACCGGCCACAUUGGGGCUGAGAUACGGCCCAGACUCCUACGGGAGGCAGCAGUGGGGAAUAUUGCACAAUGGGCGGAAGCCUGAUGCAGCAACGCCGCGUGCGGGAUGACGGCCUUCGGGUUGUAAACCGCUUUCGCCUGUGACGAAGCGUGAGUGACGGUAAUGGGUAAAGAAGCACCGGCUAACUACGUG
rnacentral:rRNA from 1 species